rnacentral:misc_RNA from 1 species
GAUGAAGAACGUAGCGAAAUGCGAUAAGUAAUGCGAAUUGCAGAAUUCAGUGAGUCAUCGAAUCUUUGAACGCACAUUGCGCCCUGUGGUAUUCCGCAGGGCAUGCCUGUUCGAGCGUCAUUUCAACCCUCAAGCUCUGCUUGGUGUUGGGCCACGCCCUCGCGGCCGGCCCCAAAGCCAGUGGCGGCGCCGUCCGGCUCUAAGCGUAGUACAUCUCUCGCUCUAGGGCCCGGCGGCUGCCUGCCAGAACCCCAAACUCAUAUGGUUGACCUCGGAUCAGGUAGGGAUACCCGCUGAACUUAAGCAUAUCAAUAAGCGGAGGA